AUAUUUAAAGGAAUGAAGUUAUCUCCAAUCGAAUCACACGAUGCCGUAGCAAAUUUUUCGAAAACUUCGUUGCAAGUUACUCCACGAAAAGAGAACUCUGAUUGUGACUCAGUACCAUCAGAAUCGUUUGCGUCAGUCCUAAGCGUUCUAUAUUUUUCCAUAACGUUUUGGCGGGUAAGUCCGCGUUAAGUUAUUAAUUGAAGUAUUCGCGUUUCGCGCGUUUGAUUUCGUAAACAAGUUUCUUCUUCCAUUUCCGAGUAUCAUUUUUUUUCCAGCACUCAUAAGCUUCAGAAAGAUUUUCAAACAUUCGAUUGAUAUAGUUAUUUAUCCAUGGAUAACUAUGACCUCUCGCAACCUUUUUCUUCAAAAGAGCGUGCCUACCAAUAGUAUAAAACAACAUUUUGUCAAAGCAUGUAAAUUUUUCAUUGACUUCAGAACAGUAGUAUAUUCUAUCAAAACAGCAAUUACGUAGAUCAGAUAGAAAAGUGUCAAUAGGGGAAGGAGGGGCAUGCCCCGGCUAAGCAUAUGUGAUCAUAAACCUCAAAUGAUGCUUAUUUUAAGGUCGUAUUGAGCAUUAGAGAGCAGUUUACUCCCUUGCAUAAGAUACUUCAAGUUUUAGCCCGCCGGAAACCGAAAUUUCCCAUUCAAAUAACCAACUCAAAAAAGUGUUACCUUUUGGGUGCCGGAAAAUUGUAGGAGGCAAAACACCUUUUGAGGUGAAGCAAAACGCCCGCUGGCAUUUUCCGCUUUGACUUGAAACGUGUGUGGAAAUACCUGAGGCCCCAUCGAAGUGAAAUACCAGGAUGCUCCAUCGUACUCUACCCAGCAGCAAAUGAAGGGGUAGGAGGCGCGUGUUUUUUUAAUGGGCAGAUUUUCUUUAGACAAUAAGGCACUACAAUGUUUUGAUUUUAUAUGGAAUUUUGACGUUUCUUGGCCUUGUUGUUUACAAAAUUUAUGUGAGAGUGAAAGAGAAGGAGAGAAUAUCAUGCAGUGCCCUAUAUAAGCCGUUCUUGGGCUAGACCUGCUCAGUUUUUGUUCUAGUUCGCUUGCAUCUAACGAAAACAUCCACAAUAUGAUGGGAUCGCGUGAAGGCGUUUUGCCCCCGGGGGGCGUUAUGCCCGCAGUUCCCCUAUUGAUUUUCUGGUAGUCUCGGGCCCAAAUCAAUUUGAAAUUUGUAUGAAAGUGAAUUGAUGAAAACCCCUCGGCGGUUUUGUACUGGGCGAAGCCGUCAAGCAGUUUCCCAGCUGUCAAAAGGUGAUAUCAAAUAAUCUCUUUGAAAUUGAUUUUAGGUAUCAAAAUAAAGUUCGGAAAUACGCACCCUCGGGGCAAAACGCCCUCACACUAUAGACAAAAGAUAGGGACAGGCAAAAUUUUCACUUUACAAAAAAUAUUCGACUUGCUGUAACUUGUCGAAAAGUACACUUAAUAUUCUAAAAUUUUCACUGUAAGUUGAUCAACUGUUGUGUAUCAGUGAUCCAAAUUUGGAAAAGCGGGUUACUCUGCACGAAGUUAGAAAGAUUCUUGAAAAGGAAUGAUUACCGAAAGCGAACUUUGAGCUGUUAUAUCUCCGGAUUCAAUGAACCGAAUGCAAUGCAAUCCGGAUUCAAUGAACCGAAUGCAAUGAAAUUUUGAGGCCUUAGUGGCAUCAAAUAUAUUGUUGAAAGUCUUAUACUCCAAUUCUGAAAUGAAUAAAUUGAAAUGCGCCUACUAGAGAUGGUCAGGUUUCCCCGGAUAAAAAAUGACCAUUCAUUGCAUGGUAAAUAUUAUUAAUGUAUGACUGGUUUUAUUGUUCACAAUCAAACACACAGUAGAUAUAUGGUUACUUUUACAAUAGAAAUCAAGCCGAUAUAGUUCGUACAAUAAGUGAACAUUAGCUUUAUUAGUGACUAAUUAAUUCGAUUGUUUUUCAAUCGUUCUUUAACAAUUCAAAGUACAUAACUAUUAGUAAAAAAUAAAUUAAGUUGUUUUUAUACAGUUGGAAAAGUGCCUGCAAAGUUCUCAUGGACUUUUUUUUUAUUAAAAAAGAGUUUAUUUCUUAACCCUUCAGCGCACGCGCGCGCUGUUGUAAAAAGUACAACACCACCAAAAAACCUCGCUUUUCGUAUACAGCGCGAGCGCGGUGCAGUUUCGGUUGCUUGAUGGCGCGCGUCCUGGAAGGUUAAUUGUGUGGCUUCGUGGUCGUGCGGCUAAGGUCACCAAGCCUUUAGACGCAUCGUGCUAAGGAGCGCGGGUUCGAUUCCCGCCGCAGCUGUCAGGAAAAGUUUUCGGCUGUGCCACUGGGCGUUGCAUGCUAGUCCGUUGUCUAGUGUCGUGUUUCCUUCAAAGAGCAAAUAGCUCACUGGAAGCAUUAAACGUGUCCGUUUCUUUAAUUACACUUAAAAACAAUUCGUCACAAAUAAAUAACAAUACAUAUUAUUGUUACUUGGAUCAUGUUAUUUUACUCUGUAUAAUCAAAUACAAAAUCACUUGACAUAUUUUUUUUUAAUUUUCGUUUUGAAUUUGAGUACAGUAUAUGUUGGCAGAGGAGGCUGUCAAUUAAUAACUGAGGAAGUACUUAGCGAACACUUGCUGUAAAACAGGUUUAUCCAAGUGAGGACGUUACGAGAAGAAAAAUAUGAACAAUGAUUUUUCUGUUGUUUUCCAAUAAAUUAAAUGAAUCUAGUAAACAGAAACUACCCUUGAUAACAAUACAACUACAAUUAGUUUAAUGGGUUCUAUUGAACCGAUGUUAAAAUAAACAUGCAAUAAUAUUUAUUGUUAUUACGCACUUCACACCUCACUGGACCCCUUUCGCAGUUAGUAUAAGUGCGGGAUCGUGAAUAAAACUGCGAUUUGGCAUCGAAUCGUGUUGCUGUUGUCUGCGCACUUAUGCAUUACAAGAUGCUGAAUAAGUGCGCAGAAGACACCGACACGAUUCAAUGCAAAAUCGCAGUUUUAUUCACGAUUCCGCACUUAUACUAACUGCGAAGGGGUCCAGUGGGGUGGGAAAUGCGCAAUAUGUUAACAGAUUUCGCCUUUGAAAAACCAUAGAAUUCAUAUUUCUCAGUAACAUUCUUCUCCAGCAUUUACACAUGGCCUUAUAAAUUGUGAACGAUUUAUGGCAUGGAUCAUAUGACCUGAGGUCUGACUUGUGAUAUUUGGCAGUUAUUUGAAAAGAUUGAUGAUAGAUCUUAUCAACAGAUGCCAAGCAAUACAUACCAGACAUCAGAGUGUUUGAUUCUUAUCAUAAAGUGUGCAUAUCAUUCUGGCGGCCUUUAGUACUCGUAAAUGC